AGCGAACGCUGGCGGCGUACUUAACACAUGCAAGUCGAACGGGGAUCAUCGGGUUAGCAAUAACUCGGUGGUCCUAGUGGCGCACGGGUGAGUAACACGUGGGUAACCUGCCCUGGAGACCGGGAUACCCCCUCGAAAGGGGGGCUAAUACCGGAUACGUUCCCUGGAUCGAGAGGUCUGGGGAGGAAAGGUGGCGAAAGCUGCCGCUCUUGGAGGGGCUCGCGGCCUAUCAGCUAGUUGGCGGGGUAACGGCCCACCAAGGCUAUGACGGGUAGCUGGUCUGAGAGGACGACCAGCCACACGGGGACUGAGACACGGCCCCGACUCCUACGGGAGGCAGCAGUGGGGAAUUUUCCGCAAUGGGCGAAAGCCUGACGGAGUGACGCCGCGUGUGGGACGAAGGCCUUCGGUCGUAACC
rnacentral:rRNA from 1 species